rnacentral:sRNA from 1 species
GUCGGGUGCGGUGGCACACGCCUGUAAUCCCCACGCCUAGGGAGGCUGAGGCAGGAGGAUCGUGUCUUCAAAGCCAGCCUCAGCAAAAGUGAGGUGCUAAGCAACUCCAUGAGACCCUGUCUCUA